GACGAACGCUGGCGGCGUGCUUAACACAUGCAAGUCGAACGGAAAGGCCCUGCUUUUGUGGGGUGCUCGAGUGCCGAACGGGUGAGUAACACGUGAGUAACCUGCCCUUGACUUUGGGAUAACUUCAGGAAACUGGGGCUCAUACCGGAUAGGAGCUCCUGCUGCAUGGUGGGGGUUGGAAAGUUUCGGCGGUUGGGGAUGGACUCGCGGCUUAUCAGCUUGUUGGGGGGGUAGUGGCUUACCAAGGCUUUGACGGGUAGCCGGCCUGAGAGGGUGACCGGCCACAAUGGGACUAAGAUACGGCCCAGACUCCUACGGGAGGCAGCAGGGGGGAAUAUUGCACAAUGGGCGGGAGCCUGAUGCAGCAACGCCGCGUGCGGGAUGACGGCCUUCGGGUUGUAAACCGCUUUCGCCUGUGACGAAGCGGGAGUGACGGUAAUGGGUAAAGAAGCACCGGCUAACUACGUG
rnacentral:rRNA from 1 species